CUUUCGUCGGGGCUCGCGUUGCCGAGGGGACAGGGCUGUAUCCCAGCGCGCCGGGCAGUGCCAUUGAGGAUAACCUCCGCAACUCAAGGCACGGAACGCUUUCCCGUGGGACGUGUGAGGACUGGAUUUUUAAAAUGAAAGCGCUGCUGAAAGCCUUGCAGAGGAGCUUCCUUUGGCAAGCUUUCGUACUGGAGGCUUUUCGUAAGGGAAAUAUAUUGUCUUUCAAUUGGAUGCAGAAAAUAGAGCUGAAUGAUCGUUUCCUAAAUCCAGCGUGAUUCUUGCUUUCGUUUAGGAGAGCUUUUGGUGGCGUUCGUGUGCCACAGACAUCCUGCACUCUAAAUAUCUCCUGAUCCUCUAGCAAAGAAAUGUCUGUUGGUGUUCAGUGGGUUCUGUGCAUGUACGGCAUAGGCAUACUUAGUUCCUACUUCACAUUUACUUUAUGGAGAUGCAGGCUCAAUGCUUCUGCUCAGCUCUGCAUUUUGACAGCGUCCUCUCUUGCAGCUCAACUGCGGGGGGACCUUCAAAAUGAAGCUAACAAGUAAAAUAUGCUUUGAAAUGGAGUGCAGAUGGGAAGUGUCGAAGUGUUGUGUUGCACAACAGCCUGCUCUGUGUGUGUGUGCUGCGCUGCUCACACAACUCUUGGUUUUAUGUGUCCGCGAUCUGAACCCCGUGCUGCUCAGAAAUAGCAUGUGGUAGUACCUCGACCAGCAGCAGCUCUGGUGAGAAAGGCUGAUUCCUCUCUGUCCUGACAAUGUUUCUGACACCUCUGGGCAGCACAUUUGUUAGGAAUGUGUAUGUAUCCUACAUUAUUAAUUCCAAAAUAUUGUCAGUUGUUGAAUAAGAUGAUAAGCUGGUGUUUUCUGGCUCAGGUAGGUGUUAUCUGAACUUUUCUUAGAGGUGCUUCAUUAGAUAUGUUUCUUGCAUCCAAAAGCAUUAUUGUCAAUUUCCAUUUCAUAUGGACUGAUAGUAGCAGACUGCUAGUUGCACCUUCAACAGCAGAAACUGGGGCUCUCUACCUCGCCCUUAUCUCCUCAUCUCAGCCUUUCUUUAGGGAGCAUUUCUGUGGCAUUAUCUCCUGGCUCAAAAAGGAGAUGCCUCCUCAUGGAGGGGUGUAGAGGGACGGGAAACCUACAGCUGGUUUUGGUAAAACUUGGGUAAGAAAAGUAGUGAAUGCAUUUCCUCAUGUCACUGACCUGCGUAUCUAUUGCAGCAAUGUGCCUCCAGCUUUUUCGUGGGGAGAGAGCUUGUGUCUCUUGUGUUACCUUUUCUGAAAUCUUGAAAUGAUUUUUGACAUAGUGACUAAAUAUUGUCAUGGUAUUUAGAAAAUCAGUUUAAUUCUGCGUUCCUCACAUGGCUGUGCCGGAAGGGUUAGUCAUCUAGCAUGAUGUAUCUCUGCGCAUGUGAUUAGGUGGAAAUGUGUUAAAGAUAUAUGCUACGUAUCCUAAUUUUUCUGCAUAGUCAGGAAAGUAUGUUGCCUGCACAUUAUUAAUCCUCUUGAAAUAGAAAACCUGUGUCAGUACAGAAGGAUCUUACUGUGAUUUAGCAGAUGUAUGACUGUGUAUGGACUUUAAGCUUGAGCAGAGGGAAUUCUUCCUUUGAGGAGGAUCUCAUCCCCAGUCUUUAGUGGAAAAUCAUUUUCUUCACAUGCAAAAGGCAUGAAAAGUAAAGAGCAUUAACCCUGAUUCUGGUACCUGACUUCCCUCUGACAUCUGUAUCUGCCCACCUGUCCCCAGAGGGAAGGAGAAUGUGGCAGACUUCGGUCUGAAUCUGAUCAGCAGUCCUUGAGCUGUGACUGUGGGGAGCGGAGCACAAGGUCUAACUUUCUGAAGCUUUCAGUGCUCUUCUUUGAAUCCAAAGGAAUGGAAACAUCAUGGAAUUUUCCUCCAAGUGAUGGGUGUGGAGCUGUUAUAGUGGCUGUAGCUCUAACUGUGGACAUUUGAAUUGUCUGCCAUGGGACAGUGUCCCCUGUGUACAUGCAGAGAAUUUCCUCCUUGCUUGCAGUUUGCCCUGGGACUGUCCCUGGGAAGAGGACAGCCUCUGGAGGGCUGUGGUGGCCCAGGGCUGCUCUCUGGUCAUCUGGAGCCUUUCCCUUGAGGCUGAACUCUGGCAUGUCUCUGAAAGCCUAUCUGGUCUGUAGUUCACUGCAGAAGGAGAAAAAAAGAAGCUUCUGAGCAGAUGAUACAUCUUACAAGGUCUGCUUUUAGUGUCUUACUAUGCUUUGUGCCUGCUAUGACCGCAGAGCCACCACAAGCCCUCUGGGGCUGAGCUGAAUUAUUUUCUGCCUUAUGUAGCACCAAGAGAAACAUCAACUACGAGAGGUUACAGCUGCAGAACUUGUGUGUGCGGUGUGUCUCGUUCAGAUGUUAUUUCCUUAAUAAAAUUGCUCAUUUGGUGUAAA